AUUGAACGCUGGCGGCAUGCGUAACACAUGCAAGUCGAACGGUGUUUGGUGCUUGCACCAGACAUAGUGGCGGACGGGUGAGUAAUGCGUAGGAAUCUGUCUUAGAGAGGGGGACAACCCGAGGAAACUUGGGCUAAAACCGCAUAUUCUCGAGAGAGGAAAGCAGGGGACCGGAAACGGCCUUGUGCUCUAAGGUGAGCCUACGUCGGAUUAGCUAGUUGGUAGGGUAAAAGCCUACCAAGGCGAUGAUCUGUAGCUGGUCUGAGAGGACGGACAGCCACACUGGGACUGAGACACGGCCCAGACUCCUACGGGAGGCAGCAGUGGGGAAUAUUGGACAAAUGGGGGGAAACCCUGAUCCAGCGAUGCCGCGUGUGUGAAGAAGGCCUGCGGGUUGUAAAGCACUUUCAGUGGGAAAGAGAAGCGUCUUGUGAAUAAUGGGACGUGGAGACGUUACUCACAGAAGAAGCACCGGCUAACUCUGUGCCAGCAGCCGCGGUAAUC
rnacentral:rRNA from 1 species